rnacentral:lncRNA from 10 species
AUUUUUGGGUAAGAUUCUUUUAUGAUUUGAUAGGAAUAUUUUUAUCUAGCCGCUGAAUGGUCCAUGAAAUUGACAGGGAAACUGAAACUUCCCAGGCUGUGCAGCUAGUAGGUGGGACUUGGACCCAGACCAGGUGUGUGUCCAUCGCUGCAUUAUCAUCUCUUCAUAAAACAAAGAAUUUAAUAUUGUAUGAACGAAGAUAAGGUUGGAGUUGCUGUGGGUGAGCUGCUGUGGUCUGUAGCCAAGCAUGCUGUGGUCGGAUCUGCCCAGCCGUGGAACAGAAACAUUUGCUGGAUGGAAAAUCCAUAAAAGAAAGCUCCUGUGAAAAGCUGAGGCUGACAAUAAUUUAAGCAAAAUCAGAUCGAUCUCUUUGGGCUGCCUGACCUCCUUGGGUGCUUGCUAUUAAUUAACAGACUUUGUGGGGAAAAAAAGGAGCUUGCCUUCUGAGCUUUGUACCAAAGACCUGGGAAAACUAACCAUCUCAGUCUUUCCUGAGGACUUGGGAACUGCCGAGGCCUCUGCCAAUGUGUUGACUGUCGCUAUGGGCUCACUGUUG